rnacentral:lncRNA from 10 species
GUCUAACCCAAUCAUAUUUAAGAUAUUUAAACAUGGUCGAUCUGCACUGGCUUCAGAGACCCCCAGAAGCAGAGAGAAGCACACACGUUUCCACACUCCGGCUCCCCCUGACUCUCCUAGGUUCGGUCAGCGGAGACUAAGUACCAGUGUUCCGCCAACCCAGGAACAGAGCAGGCCCUGCAGGCGCAACGAGAAGACAGACCCCCGGGAGAGCACUCAGGAGGAAAAAUGGAGAAAGUAACACUUCCCACCGAAACUACCAGAAACAUCCAGAAAAUGAAGCAGAAAAAUGCAGCCCAGGAAUCAGAAAAGGCCUCAGUCCGGUCAAUUAAACCUUGGAGUGACCAGGAAAUCCAGAGUUUCCUGCAAGAAUGGGAAUUUCUUGAACGUGAAGUGUACAGGGUGAAGAAGAAGUAUCAC